UGCAAGUCGAGCGGAUGACGGGAGCUUGCUCCUUGAUUCAGCGGCGGACGGGUGAGUAAUGCCUAGGAAUCUGCCUGGUAGUGGGGGACAACGUUUCGAAAGGAACGCUAAUACCGCAUACGUCCUACGGGAGAAAGCAGGGGACCUUCGGGCCUUGCGCUAUCAGAUGAGCCUAGGUCGGAUUAGCUAGUUGGUGGGGUAAUGGCUCACCAAGGCGACGAUCCGUAACUGGUCUGAGAGGAUGAUCAGUCACACUGGAACUGAGACACGGUCCAGACUCCUACGGGAGGCAGCAGUGGGGAAUAUUGGACAAUGGGCGAAAGCCUGAUCCAGCCAUGCCGCGUGUGUGAAGAAGGUCUUCGGAUUGUAAAGCACUUUAAGUUGGGAGGAAGGGCAGUAA
rnacentral:rRNA from 1 species